ACCAUAGCUGUUAUGAUGAUGAUGAAGCAAUUACGAACUCAGUAUAUAAAGAUCCAUUUCUCAUAUUAUUCUCCUCUUCGGUUCUUGUCUCUAUGACAGGCCUUGCUCACAUGUCUACUACAUUUAAUGGCAAAGAGGAGUAAAGUAGAUUUGCUUCUCAUCCUGGUUUAUGUUUAGAAAAGCUGCCUACUCUCAUCAGUAAGACCAACUCCUUCCUCAAACCAAACAUAUGCUUUUCAGAAUCAAGUAUCACACUGUCAUAGUUCAAAAGUAAGCACAAGAUGCAGUCAGAAAGAAGCUGAAGUACCACCACCAUAAGAGGUUUUCUAUUGAGUAUCGACAGGUUUGGAAAAGAUACAUCAGAAAAACCUAAGAUGAGCACUAGAACUCAGGAGAGCUAGGAUACUGCUCCUCUUCAUCUGUGAAGGUGGGAUUCCAAUGAUCUUGUGUGGAGAUUUCCAGAAGCGUUUCGUGUUUUGAGUCCACAGCUGUUGGGAC